UAAUUAGUUAAGAGUUGCAAAAUAAGUUUCAUUAAAUUUCCAAGUGUGAAAAGAUAGAUUUUAUUAUGUGAGUAUUUCUGUUUAAUUUUUCCCAUUAAUCGAUUGGGAACUUUAAUUUGGGGGGUUAAUAAUUUUUUUUUUUCUUUUAUUUGUUGAUUUGUUGUUGUUGUAGUGGGUGAAGCUAAAGUAGAUACCAUCGUCAAUUUGAUGGAAAUAGUUAGAAAAGGUGAAUCCAUUAUGAAUUUGGAAUGAAUGUUCAAUUGUUUAUAUUAUCAACUACUAUCGUAUUUCUUUGGUUUAUGUAUUUUUUUUUCUUUUAAUCAAGGAAAUUUUGUCGAAAAAAAUCAUUUAUAAUCACUAUUUUGUUGGAAAAAACCUUAUAAAAAUUUUUUGGCAAGAAGAUUCCAGUUUGUAAAAUAUUUUUGUUGAAUUGAGAUCUCUAAUAACUCAAUUAACCACUAAUUUUCCUUUAAUUCUUCUAAUUACUCAUAACUUUCACUAAGUAUUUAAUAAGUAAGUUUGAUUUAUAAUUUUUUUUUUAAAAACCACCCUCUCCUUCUUCCCCUCCCAUGACAGCAACCCCCUCCCAGCCUCCACCAUCUAUCUCCAGCCGUCGGCUAGAACCCCUCACCCUCGCCGACCACCCUCCUCCGGAAAAUUAACCACCCAUCAAUACCACCUUCUGCCAUAACCACAAACCAGAAAACCACCCCAACUGGAGGAGAGAGAAAAUUUGCCGGAGAAAAGCGCCGCCAAAUUCGAAAACAAAAGGAAGAUAGGAAGAAGUGGAUGAGAAAGAAAAUGAGACGAACAUAAUCUGAUAAUCGUGAGGAUAAGUUUAACGGUCUAACAAUGUUGAAUUGGGGAAGAAGAGGAGAGAGAGAGAAAAGGUAAUAAGAAGAAUGGUGAAUUGGGUUCCGGAGGAGGGUGGCCGGUGAAGAGGAAAGGGAGGGGGUGGGUUCGGCGCGGGUGAGGGGUUCUAGGCGGCGGCUGGAGAUGGUGGAGGCCGGGAGCGGGUUGCUGCCAUGGGAGGGGGAGAAGGAGAGAGUGGUUGACCGGUGGUGGUGAAGGUGGUUUUUGUUUUUUUUUUGGUUUUUGGUUUUUGGUUUGUUUUGUUUUGUUUUUUUUAUUAUUUAUAAUUCAAUUUAAUUAUUAAAUACUUAGUAAAAGUUAUGACUAAUUAGAAGAAAUUAGUGUAAAUUAGUGGUUGAUUGAGUGAUUAGAGAUGUAAGGAUAUCUUCAACAAAAAUAUUUUAUAAUCUUGUUUCUCCUUGUCAAAAAAAUUUUAUAAGUUUUUUUUCCAACAAAAUAGUUGUUAUAAAUGGUUUAUUUUGACAAAAUUUCCUUUGACCUAUUAUAUUUUGCUGAGAAAUUGAGACUUUUAUAUUCUAGUGAUCUUUUCGUGCAAUAGAAUGAUCAUUAGAUGUGUACCUUUGUUUCUUAAUUUAAAAAAAUAAAUAUGUUGAAAAGCACAUUAAUUUUUAGGAAAUUUUUAUUUUUGCAUAAAUUUGAUUUAAACUACCCAUCUAAAUUAUUAUUUUAUUUUACCCCAUCAAAACCCAAAAAUAUAGGUUUUGCCAAAGUCAUUAACCCUCACACUUCACAAGUUGACCCGUUAGAUUCGGAAAAAAAAAAUAGGAAUUUUAUUAAAAAAAAAACUAAAAAAAAUAUAUAAAUAAGAGGCGGCCCAGGUUAAUAACCAUGCUAAACUUGGGCCGUUUAUAACAGGGCAGAAUCGUCAAUUCAAAUUCAAAAGUAAGGGUUAAAAUGUCCAAGGGGAAUUUGAUGCCUAACUGCUGUUAUGUUGGACGUUACUUUUCCUUGCUUAACCAUGGUUACUUGCUGUUACAGCAACCCAAGACACCCGACUUUAAUUAUGAGACACGUGUCCUCGUCUUCCUUACUUUGUCGGUGCCUUUUCACUCCCCUCAUUGUUUGUUUGUUUCCUGUUCUUUUACCUAGCCGGAACUUGAAUCCUUAUGCAUGGAAUGAAUCGUUUUAAAUUUUGCAUUUCUCAUCUACUGGUUGAAUAGCGAUUGUUGUGGAUUUGGUCUCGAAUGCUGUUGUUCGUCGAUCUGGGGAAAUUGCGGUGGAAUUUUGUAAAUUCUUUGGCAGGUGCGUGUUGUGUUGGCGUUUCAUCUAAUUUGUUAGCGUUUUCAAUUUGUUUGCUAUAAAGUAGGUGUAAAUUUCGAACUACUCCUAUUUGUUGGAUUUUUUUUAAUAGUAAUUUUCCAAUUUUAAUUGGCUUUUGAUUUACAUAAGUGAGAUGAAAAUUAGGGGUUUUAUUUGUAUUUGGUGGGUAUGUGUAAUUUCUGAUUUACUACGAAAUGUUUGCAUGUUCACUUUCAAUCUAUGUUUGUUUGCAAAUGAGAGGGAAAAUAGGGGUUUGCUACUGAUUGCUACUUUAAUUGCGUUUAUUUAUCAUAUACUCCAAUUUUCUGCGUUUUAUAACAGAAUUGGCAUUUUGACGUCGGGUAGGUGUUUAGUGAAGAGUGUUGUUUUUCAUGUAAAUUAGGCAAAAUAUCGCAGAGUAAAUGUCGAAGAGGAAAUUGGAGCUGAAGGCUGGUUGUGCAAGGUCGAAAAAUAAUUUGGUAGAGAAGGACAUUGUGGGGGGUCAAGUGAAUAAAAAAACAGAAGCACUGAAUCCCCAAGAGUGUUAAGGUAGAACAAAGGCAUCAAAUUUGACUUGCCGUGUGGAGUCAUUCGGAAGAAUAUGUCAGAAGUUUGACGAGAGAAGGAAGAGGUGGGUGUCUGAAAUAGGGUUUUCUGGCCGCCUUCAUUUAGCUUCUAGGAUGCAUAUGCCUAGGCAGUUGGCAUACUGGUUGAUGAGUCGGGUGGAUCCCAUUAGGAAGAUGCUGAUUUCUCCCAAGGGGACUGAGUUUAAGUUGUCCGCGAAUCAAGUUUAUUGGAUACUUGGCAUCCCGAAUGGUGGCAAGUGUGUUCCCUUGAAAAAAAAAUAUGAGGCUAGAUGUGAAGGAGCAAGUUGAGAAGUUGCUUAGUCGAUACGGCCAUUCAUGGGAAACAAAAUGCCGGAGAUACGAAGGCCGUGCGUAUGUUGUCAAGGGCAUCCAUGUCAAUUCCACUAUAAUGGAUACGGUUGAAGGUAAUUGGGAAGAGAACGAGGAGGCUGAAUUUAAGACACUAUUUCUCAUUCUUUCACUUCAUAUGGACAGUCGCCACGGUUAUCUUCCGAUUUGCUGCCUGCUGUGACUUGUGCAAAUGAGUGUGAUAAGUAUGACUGGUGCAACUUAGUGUUGUCAAAAUUUCUAUCCUCUGUCUCUUCAUUUGCGAAGCGCUUGGAUGCAACAGGAAAUGGUGGUGGUAGCGGUGGCUGCUUGUUGUUUAUUGUGGUCUUUUACCUGGAUCGGCUUAUCAGGGAUCCCCUUCGGUGGGGGACAUUCCCUCGAAUAAAUGUUUGGGGCAAACAUGAUUUACGUCUUGCAGCCAAAGAUGAUCGCAUUAGCGAUGUUGGUGAAUUUGGCAAACUUGGGAUGUUGGAUGUUGCUUAUGGUGAAACCCACCCUCUAGACGCGAGGGAUACCAAUGGACCUCCUGAAUCAUGCUGUAAGAUCGAACUGCCAGAAACGAACUCAUCCCCAAAGCCUAGGCGAAGGAGGCCUUGGAAGGGAGAUGUUGUAUCAUGGUUCAAAUAAGUACGGCCAGAGUUACCUAUUAUCAUGUAACGAAAUGUGUAUUGUAUUCUUGAUGAGUUGAAUUGUUACUGAGUUUGGAAUGAAUAAUUGGACAUUAAAGCUUAUACUGUGAAACAAAGGAUUGGGCUUAGCCCAAACCAA